GCACUGGUGGCGCAAUCGGUAGACGCGAUGGUCUCAGAAGCCAUUGGGGCAACCCUUACGAGUUCAAGUCUCGCCCAGUGCACCA
rnacentral:tRNA from 1 species